UCGCAUCUGUGCAUGCAGCAUAUCAAUAAGCGGAGGAAAAGAAACUAACAAGGAUUCCCCUAGUAACGGCGAGUGAAGCGGGAAGAGCUCAAAUUUGAAAUCUUAAAGGGUUUCCCUUUACGAAUUGUAGUUUAAAGAAGUGUUUUCUGUUGAGGUUUUGGUAAAAGUUCUUUGGAAUAGGACAUCAUAGAGGGUGAGAAUCCCGUAUUCGACCUUUACUUUCAACUUUGUGAUACACUUUCAAAGAGUCGGAUUGUUUGGGAAUGCAGUCCAAAAUGGGUGGUAAAUUUCAUCUAAAGCUAAAUAUUGGCGAGAGACCGAUAGCGAACAAGUACCGUGAGGGAAAGAUGAAAGGAACUUUGAAAAGAGAGUUAAACAGUACGUGAAAUUGUCAAAAGGGAAGCGUUUGACACCAGUGUUGUUUUUCUGAAAAUCAAUUAAAGAACUGUUUAUGCUAAGCUGUUUAGACUUUAUCAGCUAGCUGUUUAGUUUUGAGCUUUUCUUUAAUGCACUUUUCAGUUAACAAGUCAACAUCAAUUUCUUUUGCUGUAAAAAAGCUUGAGGAAGGUGGCUUGAGAUUCGUCUUAAGUGUUUAUAGCCUCUUGCCUAUGCAGUCGGAGAGAUUGAGGUCUGCAGCGUAGAUCCUUCGGGGCUAAAUGCAUUUGUGCUAAGUUAUAGCAUUUUAUAGACAACUUGUUGACUAUGAUUUGUCUUGUAGCUUACUCGCUUAUGUUAUUUUACCUACGCUUAGGAUGUUGACAGCAGUAUAGACUGU
rnacentral:rRNA from 1 species